UUCAUUCUCAGCAUCGACAUUACAAACCCUAGAAGAUCAUCCUCCUCGCCGACUUCGCAGCUAACCGCGACAAACGUCACCGGUGACGGCGAAAAAACUCCACCCCAACAGCAAAUUGGCGACGAACACAUCUACUCAUCGCCCGUUCGAGAGAAAAAUCGUGGAAAAUUCCAUAACCAUCACCAAAUCGACAAAACCCUAAAUCGCUCUCCACCUUUUAAGCCUCAACCGAUAAAAUCGGAGAAAUAGAAGCCGUUUAUGGAGUUAUUUUCCUCCACUUCCGCGAACUUCAGCGCCUCAAACACAGAAUCAGCGACGAAACCUAAAUCCUCCGAAUCUCACCGCUUGACCAGAAUCGAAGAAAUCGAAGCCGUGGAAGCCAUCUACAGCGUUAUUUUCCUCCACUGCUGCUAACUUAACAGCCUCAAAAACUGAUUCAGCGACGUAAGCACAAAUCCUAAGUAUCUAACCGCCUGCACCGAUGAACACGGACAAGCAGAAGACGCAAACGGAGAUGAAAUCCUAUCCAUCACUAGAAAAAGUGAUAAAAUGGCAAGUUUGUUGAACAAAGUUGUAAGCCUAAAUCUAUGCCCUAAAUUAUAUUCAUAUUUACAAAAAUAUAGCAGAAUAUGAAGAAGUCAGAAAACAUACCACGCGAUCAUGGAAGACAGCUUCCAAGGUCUUAUCAUUCUUAUCUCCAGAAUUGUUCUCAUAAAGCCGGACACAAUAGACCUUGAUGACAGAGGUAGGCACUUUAGGCAGAAGAUUAUUAACCAAGGUAAUUAAAGGUGCCAUUCUUCGGUAGAACUUUCUGCAGUAAAAAGAGAUAUUGAAAAAUUACAGCUUUACUUUUCCAGUCAAUGAAAUAAUUAUAUAUAUAUUGUAAUAGAAUAGUGGUGUUUUUUAUAAAGCCUAUGCAAAUCUAACAGAAAUAGGCUACAACCCUA